rnacentral:snoRNA from 1 species
ACCAAUUCUGGAGGAUAAGUUGGUUCCUCACGGUGUAAUAGCUCGGACGCCAUAUUAAUAUCUGUGGCCAUCCUGAUCAAUGGCUUCUCAAUACCAUUGUAUCCUGGAAACACCUCAUACAUUU